GGGGAUUUAGCUCAGCGGCAUAAGCGCCUGCCUUGCAAGCAGGCAGUCCUGAGUUCGAUCCCCGGUAUCGAUA
rfam:Cavia porcellus supercont2_47 genomic scaffold, whole genome shotgun sequence.